AUCUCAGUUCCUCCUCUCUGCUGGGAACCCGACCCUGUGCGGGAGCCCAAGCCCGCCUCGGCCCUCCGCCCUUUGGUCCCGCGCCCGGGGCCUCCAUUCCGGUAGUCUCCGUCCCUUGCCCCGGUGCAGCCUCUGCCCUCACCCCCAAUUGAUGCGGCCACGAGCCUUCCUUCACGUCAUCUGCUCAGUCGUAUUUUAGUCCAACAUUCGAUAUGCUCAUAAGUCAUUUCCAACAGCUGCUGGUUCAGUUGUUUAUCCACCAGGACAAGAUCUGUGGCCCUGGCCGUGCCCUUUGCAGUGCCCAAGUGUGUUUGCAGAUGCAACAGAGCCUAAGAGUUGAAGAUCACUGAACGUUGUCAUGAUGAAUGUUUUCCAAAAACUUACAGAGGAUGACUAACCCCCUAGAAGCACAACUGCAUGUAACAAGCAUAUAGGUAGCUACAAGUGAAUGAAUGUUUGAGUUCUUAGCUGUGGUGGUUAAAAAUUCUUCAUUGCCUCAGGUGUGGCAUGUGACGGUUUUGGAAGGAAAAACAGAAUUGGUUAGGAAGACAUGAAUUACAGCAAAUGAUGAAAAGUAACAUUUAACACUGAUCAACUCACAAUAAAAUUCUGUAGAAAAUACAUGUUUGAAUACUUUUAAUUGCUGGACAAUAAAAUGUUUUCUUUAAAACA